CGCGAAUGCCCUACAGCUUAAGUUGAUCAUGGCUCAGAGUCAACGCCNUAGUAAGGCCUAACACAUGCAAGUCGAACGGCAGCACAGGAGAGCUUGCUCUACUGGGUGGCGAGUGGCGGACGGGUGAGGAAUACAUCGGAAUCUACUCUGUCGUGGGGGAUAACGUAGGGAAACUUACGCUAAUACCGCAUACGACCUACGGGUGAAAGCAGGGGAUCUUCGGACCUUGCGCGAUUGAAUGAGCCGAUGUCGGAUUAGCUAGUUGGCGGGGUAAAGGCCCACCAAGGCGACGAUCCGUGGCUGGUCUGAGAGGAUGAUCAGCCACACUGGAACUGAGACACGGUCCAGACUCCUACGGGAGGCAGCAGUGGGGAAUAUUGGACAAUGGGCGCAAGCCUGAUCCAGCCAUACCGCGUGGGUGAAGAAGGCCUUCGGGUUGUAAAAGCCCUUUUGUUGGGACAAGAAAUCCAGCCGGCUAAUACCUGGUUGGGAUGACGGUACCCAAAGAAUUAGCACCGGCUAACUUUCGGUGCCANGCAAGCGCGGGUAAUACGAAGGGGUGCAAGGCGGUUACCUCGGGAAAAUUAACUUUGGGGCCCGUUAAACAAGCGGGUGCCGG
rnacentral:rRNA from 1 species